GUCUAUAGAGUUUGCAAGUAUAACCAAGGUAUUCUUAUAAGAAUUGCCUACAAAUUUAAAUCAUGUUUCAUACAGGACAGAUUUUAUUCUAUUUAAGUUUAUCAGGACUCUUCAAUUGCAAUCAUUCAUUCACAAUAUUUGAAAACUGGUGCAUAUAGCCAACUCAUUUAAAAUCAAAAGAUGCUCUUCAGUUCACAUCAAAUGAGAAAGAGAUUUGAGAUAUGAACUCAUUAAAUAACCUUGGAACUCUUUCUGAAAAA